rnacentral:rRNA from 1 species
CUCAUUAAAAGAGUGCGUAAUAGCUCACUGGUCGAGUGACCCUGCGCCGAAAAUUUAACGGGGCUAAAUCGUACACCGAAGCUUGGGAUGCAGUAAUGCAUGGUAGGAGAGCGUCGUAUAAGGGGUGAAGUCAGAGCGUAAGCGCUGGUGGACUUUAUACGAGUGAGAAUGCCGGAAUGAGUAGCGAGAAAUAUGUGAGAAUCAUAUUGGCCGAAAGUCUAAGGUUUUUGGAGGAAGGUUCGUCCGCUCCAAGUAAGCCGGGAGCUAAGGUGAGGCCGAAAGGCGUAGCCGAUGCACAUACGGUAGAUAUUCCGUAGCCGCCAAAAGAUUUAAGUAAGAGGACACCUUGAAAGGACUUGACCCGGGCGAUGGUUGCCCCGGGCGAAAGGGACCGAAAUUUAGUAGGGAAGCAAGUUUGGACGAGGGCGAGAAAAGUCUUAUGUAUAUCUUCGGUGCCCGUACCGCAAACCGACACAGGUAGAUAGGAAGAGAAUUCUAAGGCCAACGGGAGAAGGGUAGUUAAGGAACUCGGCAAAUUGACCCCGUAACUUAGGAAUAAGGGGUGCCACAGCGAUGUGGUCGCAGAGAAUAGGCCCAGGCAACUGUUUAUCAAAAACACAGGUCUCUGCCAAAUCGAAAGAUGAAGUAUAGGGGCUGACACCUGCCCGGUGCUGGAAGGUUAAGAGGAGAUGUGCAAGCAUUGAAUUGAAGCCCCAGUAAACGGCGGCCGUAACUAUAACGGUCCUAAGGUAGCGAAAUUCCUUGUCGGGUAAGUUCCGACCCGCACGAAUGGUGUAAUGAUCUGGGCACUGUCUCAAUUACCCGCCCGGCGAAAUUGUAGUACCGGUGAAGAUGCCGGUUACCCGCGACAAGACGGAAAGACCCCAUGGAGCUUUACUGUAGCUUAAUAUUGGGUUUCGAUAAUUUAUGUAUAGGAUAGGCGGGAGACUGGGAAACCGUGGCGCCAGCCACGGCGGAGUCGACGUUGGAAUACCGCUCUUAAGUUAUUGGAAUUCUAACCUGCGGCCAUGAAUCUGGCCGGGGGACAUUGUUAGGUGGGCAGUUUGACUGGGGCGGUCGCCUCCAAAAAGGUAACGGAGGCGCUCAAAGGUUGGCUCAGCAUGGUUGGAAACCAUGCUUUAGAGUGUAAACGCAAAAGCCAGCCUAACUGCGAGGAUGACGGUCCGAGCAGUAACGAAAGUUGGAGUUAGUGAUCCGGCGGUAUGAGAGUGGAAUUGCCGUCGCUCAACGGAUAAAAGCUACCCUGGGGAUAACAGGCUGAUCUCCCCCAAGAGUCCACAUCGACGGGGAGGUUUGGCACCUCGAUGUCGGCUCAUCACAUCCUGGGGCUGUAUUCGGUCCCAAGGGUUCGGCUGUUCGCCGAUUAAAGUGGUACGCGAGCUGGGUUCAGAACGUCGUGAGACAGUUCGGUCCCUAUCUGUCGUGGGCGCAGGAUAUUUGAGGAGAGCUGUCCUUAGUACGAGAGGACCGGGAUGGACGCACCUCUGGCGCACCAGUUGUCACGCCAGUGGCACAGCUGGGCAACUAUGUGCGGAACGGAUAAACGCUGAAAGCAUCUAAGCGUGAAGCCGACUCCAAGAUUAGAUAUCCCAUCGUAUAACGAGUAAGACCCCUUGAAGACUACGAGGUUGAUAGGCUGCGUGUGUAAGUGCCGUGAGGCAUUCAGCUUGGCAGUACUAAUAGGUCGAGGGCUUGACCAC